rnacentral:RNase_P_RNA from 1 species
CGAGAUGGCCGGACGGCCGCGUCGCCCCCUUCGGGGAGCGUCGAGGAAAGUCCGGGCUCCGAGGUGUAAAGGCAGCGGGUAACGCCCGUCCGCCGUAAGGCGCGGACUAGUGCCACAGAGACGAGUCCGCCGCAGAGCUUCGGCUCAGCGGUGGGGUGAAACGCGGCAAACUCUGCCUGGAGCAAGGUCGAAUAGGGAGGCAUUUCAGUCGCUUGCGACUGGACCGGCGCACCGCCGGGACCUCCGGGUUGACCGCUAGAGCCCCCGAGCAAUCGGGGGUCGAGAUGGAUGGCCGUCCCCCCGCAAGGGGGACAGAACCCGGCUUACAGGCCAUCUCGCCGG